GAUGAACGCUGGCGGCGCGCCUAAUACAUGCAAGUCGAGCGAAUGGAUUAAGAGCUUGCUCUUAUGAAGUUAGCGGUGGACGGGUGAGUAACACGUGGGUAACCUGCCCAUAAGACUGGGAUAACUCCGGGAAACCGGGGCUAAUACCGGAUAACAUUUUGAACCGCAUGGUUCGAAAUUGAAAGGCGGCUUCGGCUGUCACUUAUGGAUGGACCCGCGUCGCAUCAGCUAGUUGGUGAGGUAACGGCUCACCAAGGCAACGAUGCGUAGCCGACCUGAGAGGGUGAUCGGCCACACUGGGACUGAGACACGGCCCAGACUCCUACGGGAGGCAGCAGUAGGGAAUCUUCCGCAAUGGACGAAAGUCUGACGGAGCAACGCCGCGUGAGUGAUGAAGGCUUUCGGGUCGUAAAACUCUGUUGUUAGGGAAGAACAAGUGCUAGUUGAAUAAGCUGGCACCUUGACGGUACCUAACCAGAAAGCCACGGCUAACUACGUGCCAGCCGCCGCGGUAA
rnacentral:rRNA from 1 species